rnacentral:misc_RNA from 1 species
CAAUUUCAUAGCAAGAUCUAUCCUUGAAAACCCAAAAUCUAAGGGAUUGACGCCCGAGGAACUGCAGAAAACUGUGACAAGGGCUUUGGGGGACAUUAAAGAUAGGAGCAAAUGGAAAAAAGUGUGGCAGGCUGGGAAAUUUAUUUAUUGCAUGUCAACUUGGGGAAUUGCUUUGGCAGGGCUAUAUAGGCACCGGGCUGUACUGAAAAUUGCGGCAAAAGG